ACGGGUCUCGCGUUUUCCCCAAAGUCCCAAAAUCUCUCUCAUUCUCUCUCCUCUCCCUCUCUCUCUCUUUGGUCUGCCCCAAAUCCCCCAAAAGAUGAAACCCUAAAAAUUAUUUGAUCAAUCUUAAAAUCCCAGAAUCAAUUUUUACACCGAUCCACCAUAUCCGUAAGUUCACUCUCUCAAAAAUUACUUUACCAAUUUCAUUUUUUUUUUCUGAUCGCAAAGUUCGAUCUUUGUUUUUUCGCUUUUCGUUCAAUAUCGAAGAGAAAAUUACUUCUCGAUUCAGAGAUUGUUAUUAUUAUUUUCUCUGAUGGGUAGGUGCUGAUAAAUUUCAAAUUCUUUUCUUUUGCCCCCGAAUUUUGUUUUUUUCGGGGCUUUCUCGGAUUUUUUUAGGGCUUUUUUUUGUUUUGUUUUGGUUCUUGUUUUUUUGAGAGCCUUUGAGAUGGAUGGCAACAAAGACGAUGCUGUGAAAUGCUUGAAAAUUGGGAAAGAAGCUUUGGAAGCUGGGGAUCGUACUCGUGCCCUCAAAUUCAUCUCCAAAGCUCGCCGUCUCGAUCCGACUUUACCCAUCGACGAUCUCUUAUCGGAGAUUCAAAAAGAAUCCAACGGUAAAUCGGCACAGGAUGCUGAUGGGUCCCCCAAUGGACCAUCAUCAGGGUCUUCUCCAUCUAAGCCGUCCGAUCAACCUUCGCUUCGCCAUAGAACUUCGUCAACUGGGCCUUCAUCAUCAUCGGCAGCGACUUUUACGGAGGAGCAGAUUUCCAUUGUGAGGGAGAUUAAGAAGAAGAAGGAUUACUACGAGAUUUUGGGGCUAGAGAAGAGUUGCAGUGUAGAGGAGGUUAGAAAAGCAUAUAGAAAACUCUCUUUGAAGGUUCAUCCCGAUAAGAACAAAGCUCCGGGAGCUGAGGAGGCCUUUAAAGCUGUAUCAAAAGCUUUUCAGUGUCUCAGCAACGAAGAGAGUAGGAAAAAAUAUGAUCUUGUUGGGUCUGAUGAGCCCGUUUACGAGAGACGCGCAGCGAACCGUGGACAUGGGUUCAAUGGGUACUAUGAAGCUGAUAUUGAUGCAGACGAGAUCUUCAGGAAUUUCUUCUUUGGAGGAAUGGCUCCGGCGACCCAGUUCAGAGGUUUCAGUUUCGGAACUGGAAUGGGACCGAUGGGACAGAGGGGAGGUGGUGAUCAUGGUUCUGCUGGGUUCAAUGUUCGGGCAUUGAUUCAGUUGCUUCCAGUGCUGCUUGUUCUGCUUUUGAAUUUUCUGCCGUCUUCGGAUCCCAUAUAUUCAUUUUCUCGAUCUUAUCCUUAUGAGUACAAGUUUUCUACGGAAAAGGGUGUUGAUUACUAUGUCAAAUCGACCAAGUUUGAGCAGGACUACCCACCAGGUAGUAGGGAACGCAUUGUCUUAGAGCAUAAGUUGGAGAGAGAAUAUUUCGGUAUUCUCUCACAGAACUGUAGGAUUGAGAUACAACGUCGUCAGUGGGGAAUUACACGUGAAACACCAUAUUGCGACAUGUUGCAUAAGUUCGAAUCGAGGGCUCACUGACUUAAAUCGAGAAUGCUUGUCUGGUGAUAGUGGCUCAAAAUUCCCUGAUCUGAAGACUGCAGGAGGAAGAAGGAAAUUGCACAAAAAGACGGGAGGAUUAUAAUAGUAGUAAAUUAAAGGAGUGUUUUUUGGUUGAAGGAUGGCAGGUCCUGUUCGAUUCAGUAUAAAUGCUGAAAACUCCAUAUCUUUCGGGAUGGCAGGCCCUGUUCGAUUCAGUAUAUCUUUGUAUAAAGCAUAUAGGAUGUACGUUGUGGGGUUCUCCUGGGUUCUGGAAUAUCAUUUGGUUUGUAUGCAAUUCAAAGUUUGGUUACAUUGUGGUUUACAAAGAAUACAGAGGAUCAUCAAUACAAGGACAGUGAUGAAUCGUAUACAGCUAUUAUGGGUCAGGAAAAUGUCUGUAAAUUUUAAAAGCUGCAUCUCUAAUUCCUUGGGGAAAUAAGUAGCAAUCCCAGUGUCCCAAAGAGUAUGUACUGCAGAGGACAUAAAAAAACGAAGUGAAUGCCAAAACACAUGAGCGUCUGCUGCGAGUGAUAGUUUCAUUUCCAGCAGUGCUGUAGCUCCAAGAAACUUUGUUAUGUUUUUUAGAAUGAAGGAUAAAUACAAAAAACAAAAAAUUUAAGAAACUUA